rnacentral:rRNA from 1 species
UACGUAGGGGGCAAGCGUUGUCCGGAUUUAUUGGGCGUAAAGCGCUCGCAGGCGGCUCGAUGCGUCGUGCGUGAAACACCCCGGCUCAACUGGGGGAGGGUCGUGCGAUACGGUCGGGCUGGAGGCCAGUAGGGGGAUGCGGAAUUCCGGGUGUAGUGGUGGAAUGCGUAGAGAUCCGGAGGAACACCAGCGGCGAAGGCGGCAUCCUGGACUGGUACUGACGCUCAUGAGCGAAAGCGAUGGGAGC